CCGAGGUGUGGCAUGUUCCUCCAUCAUUGAGUUGGUGUUGCGGUUGCCAUAACUUUGCGUCCCUUGCUGUCGUCGACAAUCACAUUGUGCCCCUCCUCCCACACCUCCUCCAUACGCCAUUUUCCCUUUAUUUCUGAGGAUCGACGGCUUAGAAUUCAGCUGUCUCUCUGCUCCAAGUGACAGUUAAUGAGAUAGUUUGUUCUUUGCAUAGAAGAGAAUAUAGGUGAGCCGGUGCAUCUGCAUCUUGUAUCACUGGAAAAUGUCAUGAUUCCUGAUGACACAGGAGUGAUAUUGUAACCAUUGCCAAAAGGGUGAUAAUGUCAAACGAGCUGCCAAGCAACUCAAGUCUUGCCUUUCUUGGAAAGACUCCAUAGGCACCAUGGAUGAUUAAUGUUACUGUUGAUUCUGAUUUUACACCAUUUCAUGUGUAAUGAGGGUGGUCAGCAGCAGCACACACUUCAUCAAAUAAGAUUAUUUUGCUUUAUUUGUGAAGACUAUUCUAAUUAGCAAGAUAAAGCAUUCUUUUGCAUUGGUUGCGCUCAUGGAAUUCUAUUAUCAAUUGGGUGGGGCGUGCGGUUAUGCAAAAACUGAAUGUUAGUACCUAGGAGUUCAAUCAAGCUUUCUCAACUUUUACCGACACUGAAACACAAUUUCCUCAGUCUAUUUCUUCAGGUAUACUUUAUUUUGGAUAAUGCUACUACUUAGCAAGCUUGCGUUCAGCUACUAUGUGGAGUCAGGAGAUGUCAAGAUUAACUUUCAAUGUGAAGCUUGAUGCUGCCGAUGCAAUUUAGUUAUCUAUUAAUAUUUUAGAUUAUUCUAUCUUUAAGUGAUAAGUGUAAUUUGUGACAUUCAUGUAACAUUAGGAUGGUCAUCUUAUUUUUUUGGGUAUCUUUUUAUUAAGACAGUGAGAUAUUGGCCAAUGAUGUUGAAAAAUAACAUCCAAUUUUAUAGGUAUCAUGUAAUGAAUAUUAUGUUUAUUUAUGUGAUUUUUGGCUUUCUUUUUUCAA